rnacentral:rRNA from 1 species
UGGCGAACGGGUGAGUAAUACAUCGGAACGUGUCCGCUCGUGGGGGACAACCAGCCGAAAGGUUGGCUAAUACCGCAUGAGUUCUACGGAAGAAAGAGGGGGACCCGCAAGGGCCUCUCGCGAGCGGAGCGGCCGAUGACUGAUUAGCCGGUUGGUGAGGUAACGGCUCACCAAAGCAACGAUCAGUAGCUGGUCUGAGAGAACGACCAGCCACACUGGGACUGAGACACGGCCCAGACUCCUACGGAAGGCAGCAG